GGCGAACGCUGGCGGCGUACUUAACACAUGCAAGUCGAACGGGGAUCGACACGUGAGCAAUCACGUGGCGGUCUUAGUGGCGUACGGGUGAGUAACACGUGGGCAACCUGCCCUUGAGUCUGGGAUAACCUCCCGAAAGGGAGGCUAAUACCGGAUACGGUCCUCGGGUCGCGAGAUCUGAGGAAGAAAGGUGGCGCAAGCUACCGCUCUUGGAGGGACUCGCGGCCUAUCAGCUAGNGGUGAGGUAACGGCUCACCAAGGCUAUGACGGGUAGCUGGUCUGAGAGGACGACCAGCCACAC
rnacentral:rRNA from 1 species